rnacentral:rRNA from 1 species
CCUACGUGUGGCUGCAGUGAGGAAUAUUUGUCAAUGGACGAGAGUCUGAACCAGCCAAGUAGCGUGAAGGAUGACUGCCCUAUGGGUUGUAAACUUCUUUUAUCUGGGAAUAAAAUGUUCCACGUGUGGGUUUUUGUAUGUACCCUAUGAAUAAGGAUCGGCUAACUCCGUGCCAGCAGCCGCGGUAAUACGGAGGAUCCGAGCGUUAUCCGGAUUUAUUGGUGUUAAAGGGGGCGUAGGGGGAUUGUUAAGUCAGUUGUGAAAGUUUGCGGCUCAACCGUAAAAUUGCAGUUGAAACUGGCAGUCUGGAGUGCAGUAGAGGUGGGCGGAAUGCGUGGUGUAGCGGUGAAAUGCUUAGAUAUCACGAAGAACUCCGAUUGCGAAGGCAGCUCACUGGAGUGCAACUGACACUGAGGCUCGAAAGUGUGGGUAUCAAACAGGAUUAGAUACCCCAGUAGUC